rnacentral:rRNA from 1 species
GACGGAGGAUGCAAGCGUUAUCCGGAAUGAUUGGGCGUAAAGCGUCCGCAGGUGGCAGUUCAAGUCUGCUGUCAAAGACCGGGGCUUAACUUCGGAAAGGCAGUGGAAACUGAACAGCUAGAGUAUGGUAGGGGCAGAGGGAAUUCCUGGUGUAGCGGUGAAAUGCGCAGAUAUCAGGAGGAACACCGGUGGCGAAGGCGGAUCUCUGGGCAUGACCUGACGCUGAGGAGCGAAAGUGUGGGGAGCGAACAGG